AUACGGAGGAUGCGAGCGUUAUCCGGAUUUAUUGGGUUUAAAGGGUGCGCAGGCGGGCGAUUAAGUCAGCGGUGAAAGGCUCGGGCUCAACCGGAGCAGUGCCGUUGAUACUGGUUGUCUUGAAUGCGGUCAAGGCCGGCGGAAUGUGGGGUGUAGCGGUGAAAUGCAUAGAUAUGCCACAGAACACCGAUAGCGAAGGCAGCUGGCCGGGCCUGCAUUGAUGCUGAGGCACGAAAGCGUGGGGAUCGAACAGGAUUAGAUACCCUGGUAGUCCACGCUGUAAACGAUGGACACUCGUUGUCGGCGACAGACAGUCGGCGGCCAAGCGAAAGUGAUAAGUGUCCCACCUGGGGAGUACGGUCGCAAGGCUGAAACUCAAAUGAAUUGGCGGGG
rnacentral:rRNA from 1 species